rnacentral:misc_RNA from 1 species
GGACGUCGUCGGCGGCGGCGGCGGCGCGAACCACGACGAAGAACAGACCACUUCGAUUCCCAUAAUAUUUACUCCGGAGCAGCAGAAUUACGUUCGAGAUUUGAAUCAGAAAGCAGCUUCUCUCAGCCGCUCGGUCCACGAUCUGCGCCUUCGAUUGCCUCCUCCCGACAUCUCACAACGCCUUCCCCACCUUCAUGCCCAUUCCCUUGCCUCCACGGCCGAUCUUACUCUUCAAUUGAACGCCCACUCUACCACUCGCCAACAGGUCCAAUUGAGAGAGAUAUCACUACAGGAAGAAAAUGUUGCAUAUGGAAAGGCCAUAUCAAAUUGUGAAAAUAAAAUACAGGAAAAGAGGCAGGAAGCAGAUUUGCUUCUAAGGAAGUUGGAGGAGUUGGAAGAAACCACAGCCCACUCUACCACUCGCCAACAGGUCCAAUUGAGAGAGAUAUCACUACAGGAAGAAAAUGUUGCAUAUGGAAAGGCCAUAUCAAAUUGUGAAAAUAAAAUACAGGAAAAGAGGCAGGAAGCAGAUUUGCUUCUAAGGAAGUUGGAGGAGUUGGAAGAAACCACA